rfam:Moniliophthora roreri strain MCA 2952 kmer90.96874, whole genome shotgun sequence.
GGCGUAUGAUGUAUUAUCUAUUCAGUUCUGCUUCCGAAAGAGUUACAAGCUCUUGUGGACAACCUAUACCUUACCAAAAAUUAUCUGAUUC